AUUGAACGCUGGCGGCAGGCCUAACACAUGCAAGUCGAGCGGAUGAAGGGAGCUUGCUCCUGGAUUCAGCGGCGGACGGGUGAGUAAUGCCUAGGAAUCUGCCUGGUAGUGGGGGAUAACGUCCGGAAGCGGGCGCUAAUACCGCAUACGUCCUGAGGGAGAAAGUGGGGAUCUUCGGACCUCACGCUAUCAGGUGAGCCUAGGUCGGAUUAGCUAGUUGGUGGGGUAAAGGCCUACCAAGGCGACGAUCCGUAACUGGUCUGAGAGGAUGAUCAGUCACACUGGAACUGAGACACGGUCCAGACUCCUACGGGAGGCAGCAGUGGGGAAUAUUGGACAAUGGGCGAAAGCCUGAUCCAGCCAUGCCGCGUGUGUGAAGAAGGUCUUCGGAUUGUAAAGCACUUUAAGUUGGGAGGAAGGGCAGUAAGUUAAUACCUUGCUGUUUUGACGUUACCAACAGAAUAAGCACCGGCUAACUUCGUG
rnacentral:rRNA from 1 species